AGCAGUGGGGAAUAUUGCACAAUGGGCGAAAGCCUGAUGCAGCAACGCCGCGUGAGGGAUGAAGGCCUUCGGGUUGUAAACCUCUUUUAGCAGGGAAGAAGCGAAAGUGACGGUACCUGCAGAAAAAGCACCGGCUAACUACGUGCCAGCAGCCGCGGUAAUACGUAGGGUGCAAGCGUUGUCCGGAAUUAUUGGGCGUAAAGAGCUCGUAGGCGGUUUGUCGCGUCUGCUGUGAAAAUCCGAGGCUCAACCUCGGACUUGCAGUGGGUACGGGCAGACUAGAGUGCAGUAGGGGAGAAGGGAAUUCCUGGUGUAGCGGUGGAAUGCGCAGAUAUCAGGAGGAACACCGAUGGCGAAGGCACUUCUCUGGGCUGUAACUGACGCUGAGGAGCGAAAGCGUGGGGAGCGAACAGGAUUAGAUACCCUGGUAGUCCACGCCGUAAACGUUGGGCGCUAGAUGUGGGCCACAUUCCACGUGGUCC
rnacentral:rRNA from 1 species